AGAGUUUGAUCCUGGCUCAGGACUAACGCUGGCGGCGUGCCUAACACAUGCAAGUCGAACGAGUGCAGCAAUGCAUUAGUGGCAGACGGGUGAGUAACACGUAGUCAACCUACCUCUAAGUGGGGGAUAACUAGCCGAAAGGUUAGCUAAUACCGCAUACGAUCGUCGAGUGGCAUCACUUGACGAUGAAAGGAGCAAUCCGCUGAGAGACGGGACUGCGUCCCAUUAGUUAGUUGGUGGGGUAAUGGCCUACCAAGACUUCGAUGGGUAGCUGGCUUGAGAGAGCGACCAGCCACACUGGAACUGAGACACGGUCCAGACUCCUACGGGAGGCAGCAGUGAGGAAUUUUCCGCAAUGGGGGAAACCCUGACGGAGCGACGCCGCGUGUGGGAAGAAGGCCUUCGGGUCGUAAA
rnacentral:rRNA from 1 species